CCCGUGGUAGCUCAGUUGGUAGAGCGGUGGACUGUCGAUCCAUAGGUCGCUGGUUCAAAUCCGGCCCAGAGGA